rnacentral:rRNA from 1 species
AAUCGGCAGCCUACCAUGCAAGUCGAGGGGUAACAGGGGAGCUUGCUCCCGCUGACGACCGGCGCACGGGUGCGUAACGCGUAUACAAUCUACCUUUUGCUGAGGGAUAGCCCAGAGAAAUUUGGAUUAAUACCUCAUAGUAUGCUUGCUUCUCAUGGAGCUUGCAUUAAAGGUUACGGCAGAAGAUGAGUAUGCGUCCUAUUAGCUAGUUGGUGUGGUAACGGCACACCAAGGCUACGAUAGGUAGGGGCCCUGAGAGGGGGAUCCCCCACACUGGUACUGAGACACGGACCAGACUCCUACGGGAGGCAGCAGUGAGGAAUAUUGGACAAUGGAGGCAACUCUGAUCCAGCCAUGCCGCGUGCAGGAAGACUGCCCUAUGGGUUGUAAACUGCUUUUAUACAGGAAGAAACACCUCUACGUGUAGAGGCUUGACGGUACUGUAAGAAUAAGGAUCGGCUAACUCCGUGCCAGCAGCCGCGGUAAUACGGAGGAUCCAAGCGUUAUCCGGAAUCAUUGGGUUUAAAGGGUCCGUAGGUGGAUAAUUAAGUCAGGGGUGAAAGUCUGCAGCUCAACUGUAGAAUUGCCCUUGAUACUGGUUAUCUUGAGUUAUUGUGAAGUAGUUAGAAUAUGUAGUGUAGCGGUGAAAUGCAUAGAUAUUACAUAGAAUACCAAUUGCGAAGGCAGAUUACUAACAAUAUACUGACACUGAUGGACGAAAGCGUGGGUAGCGAACAGGAUUAGAUACCCUGGUAGUCCACGCCGUAAACGAUGGAUACUAGCUGUUGGGCCUCGGCUCANUGGCUAAGCGAAAGUGAUAAGUAUCCCACCUGGGGAGUACGUUCGCNAG